rnacentral:rRNA from 1 species
UACGAAGGGUGCAAGCGUUAAUCGGAAUUACUGGGCGUAAAGCGCGCGUAGGUGGUUCAGUAAGUUGGAAGUGAAAUCCCCGGGCUCAACCUGGGAACUGCUUUCAAAACUGCUGAGCUAGAGUACGGUAGAGGGUGGUGGAAUUUCCUGUGUAGCGGUGAAAUGCGUAGAUAUAGGAAGGAACACCAGUGGCGAAGGCGACCACCUGGACUGAUACUGACACUGAGGUGCGAAAGCGUGGCGAGCAAACAGG